rfam:Gemmata sp. SH-PL17, complete genome.
GGUGGGGGCCUGACCGACCUGAAGGUGUGAACCUGGUCAGGGCGGAAGCAGCAGCCAUAAGCAUUGGAGGGUGCGGCUCAGGGCACCCCCAUCCUU